rnacentral:rRNA from 1 species
UACGUAGGGCGCGAGCGUUGUCCGGAAUUAUUGGGCGUAAAGGGCUCGUAGGCGGUCUGUCGCGUCGGGAGUGAAAACUCAGGGCUUAACCCUGAGCCUGCUUCCGAUACGGGCAGACUAGAGGUAUGCAGGGGAGAACGGAAUUCCUGGUGUAGCGGUGAAAUGCGCAGAUAUCAGGAGGAACACCAGUGGCGAAGGCGGUUCUCUGGGCAUUACCUGACGCUGAGGAGCGAAAGUGUGGGGAGCGAACAGG